AGUGAACGCUGGCGGUAGGCCUAACACAUGCAAGUCGAACGGCAGCACAGUAAGAGCUUGCUCUUACGGGUGGCGAGUGGCGGACGGGUGAGGAAUACAUCGGAAUCUACUUUUUCGUGGGGGAUAACGUAGGGAAACUUACGCUAAUACCGCAUACGACCUACGGGUGAAAGCAGGGGAUCUUCGGACCUCGCGCGAUUGAAUGAGCCGAUGUCGGAUUAGCUAGUUGGCGGGGUAAAGGCCCACCAAGGCGACGAUCCGUAGCUGGUCUGAGAGGAUGAUCAGCCAUACUGGAACUGAGACACGGUCCAGACUCCUACGGGAGGCAGCAGUGGGGAAUAUUGGACAAUGGGCGCAAGCCUGAUCCAGCCAUACCGCGUGGGUGAAGAAGGCCUUCGGGUUGUAAAGCCCUUUUGUUGGGAAAGAAAAGCAGCAGGUUAAUACCCCGCUGUUCUGACGGUACCCAAAGAAUAAGCACCGGCUAACUUCGUG
rnacentral:rRNA from 1 species